rnacentral:rRNA from 1 species
GUGAGGUAACGGCUCACCAAGGCGACGAUCCCUAGCUGGUCUGAGAGGAUGACCAGCCACACUGGAACUGAGACACGGUCCAGACUCCUACGGGAGGCAGCAGUGGGGAAUAUUGCACAAUGGGCGCAAGCCUGAUGCAGCCAUGCCGCGUGUAUGAAGAAGGCCUUCGGGUUGUAAAGUACUUUCAGCGGGGAGGAAGGUGUUGCGGUUAAUAACCGCAGCAAUUGACGUUACCCGCAGAAGAAGCACCGGCUAACUCCGUGCCAGCAGCCGCGGUAAUACGGAGGGUGCAAGCGUUAAUCGGAAUUACUGGGCGUAAAGCGCACGCAGGCGGUCUGUCAAGUCGGAUGUGAAAUCCCCGGGCUCAACCUGGGAACUGCAUUCGAAACUGGCAGGCUUGAGUCUUGUAGAGGGGGGUAGAAUUCCAGGUGUAGCGGUGAAAUGCGUAGAGAUCUGGAGGAAUACCGGUGGCGAAGGCGGCCCCCUGGACAAAGACUGACGCUCAGGUGCGAAAGCGUGGGGAGCAAACAGGAUUAGAUACCCUGGUAGUCCACGCCGUAAACGAUGUCUACUUGGAGGUUGUGCCCUUGAGGCGUGGCUUCCGGAGCUAACGCGUUAAGUAGACCGCCUGGGGAGUACGGCCGCAAGGUUAAAACUCAAAUGAAUUGACGGGGGCCCGCACAAGCGGUGGAGCAUGUGGUUUAAUUCGAUGCAACGCGAAGAACCUUACCUGGUCUUGACAUCCACAGAACUUUCCAGAGAUGGAUUGGUGCCUUCGGGAACUGUGAGACAGGUGCUGCAUGGCUGUCGUCAGCUCGUGUUGUGAAAUGUUGGGUUAAGUCCCGCAACGAGCGCAAC